rnacentral:misc_RNA from 1 species
GGAAAUUGGGUGAUACUCCCGCUACAGAGCCAUCCGGUGAACCGUUUUUGUCUGGAAGUGAAAUCUCAGGACGAAGUCUUGUCAUUUCCCGUGAUGCUGACGCACAAGAAGAAAUACAAGAUUGAUCCUUCGCGAAAGGGUUUCAAAUGUAUAUGCAAAUUGGUUGAAUUUUACAAGAAAAACAAACUACCAUCCUGUAACUUGAAUUUGGGAAUCCCAUUUCCCAAGUCUCUUAUUCCUCCAACCGAGGCGGAAGCAGACUGCAGUGAUGAGGUCAAGCGUCAGUACGCGGGAAUCAGGUUGUGAACUCUCCACUACGUUAAUGAGUGAAUGACGUCACAAAAAUAGUGAUCAAAAAUGUCAUCAUCGCUCCUUUACUUGAGAUAUUAAUGGGAAAAUAAAUAUAUAUCGGAUUGUAAUUUAAAAAACAUAUCAAACAUUCUGUAAAAGUUUGAUGUAUUGCAAUAACCCUCUGUGUGUAACUACGCAAAAAUAUAUACAUGUACACGACGAUUUUUUUUUUGUUCUCGCGUGGUUCUGUGUCACAAAACGCCUUAGGCGUCAGUACGCGGGAAUCAGGUUGUGAACUCUCCACUACGUUAAUGAGUGAAUGACGUCACAAAAAUAGUGAUCAAAAAUGUCAUCAUCGCUCCUUUACUUGAGAUAUUAAUGGGAAAAUAAAUAUAUAUCGGAUUGUAAUUUAAAAAACAUAUCAAACAUUCUGUAAAAGUUUGAUGUAUUGCAAUAACCCUCUGUGUGUAACUACGCAAAAAUAUAUACAUGUACACGACGAUUUUUUUUUUUGUUCUCGCGUGGUUCUGUGUCACAAAACGCCUUAGGCGUCAGUACGCGGGAAUCAGGUUGUGAACUCUCCACUACGUUAAUGAGUGAAUGACGUCACAAAAAUAGUGAUCAAAAAUGUCAUCAUCGCUCCUUUACUUGAGAUAUUAAUGGGAAAAUAAAUAUAUAUCGGAUUGUAAUUUAAAAAACAUAUCAAACAUUCUGUAAAAGUUUGAUGUAUUGCAAUAACCCUCUGUGUGUAACUACGCAAAAAUAUAUACAUGUACACGACGAUUUUUUUUUUUGUUCUCGCGUGGUUCUGUGUCACAAAACGCCUUAGGUGCCAAAAAUGGUUUUCACAAAUUCAAGUUAUGAUCUUUUUUUCCACACAGCAGUCACAUUUCCUUCGAUAACAAAUUUUUAGUUCAUAAAGAAAUGGAUGGAUCUGAAAAAAAAACGCAACUCGUAUUCAAUCUGUUACAUCAAACAUUGUACAAUGUCUUUCAUUUCUUGGAUUAUCGUAUUUAUACAGUCUUCCAUAUUCUAUUUGAGAAGAUAAGUGAUAUAUUUAGAUUUUUAUACUAAAUAUCAGUCUUCUUAUUUUUUUAUGAUGUUAUGUACAUACGUUUUUUAUCUGUUUAUAUAUUAUAUAUUGAACUGAUAUUGUUUUUUUUAUAUUUUAAUAUUUAUAUAGAUUACACUUAUGAAAAAUUCAAAGAACAUGUAACUACGAACUUCUUUUAUUAACAUAUCAUGUAAUCUUUGUUUCACUUUCAAUAAAAAUUGAUUUUUACAUUU